CUAGUGGAAGGUGUCCCUGCCCGGGGCAGGGAUUGGAGCUGCAGGAGUUUUAAUCUCUCUUCCAACCCGAACCAGGCUGAGAUUCUAUGAAAGGAGGGAAAACAGGGAGA